rnacentral:lncRNA from 1 species
AUGUAAAGGAGGAAUUUUGACAUGUCUCUUUGUAUGUCUAUGUAGAAAGACAGUUUCUGUUUGAUCAAUUGUUGUCUAUUGAAUAUAGAUGUCUUGAUCAUAUGUGUCACAAUAUUUGUUUAGACAUUUUUACAUGUAAUUAGCUAGUUUUUUUUAAAAACAAAAAGUGUAGCACUUGUCCCCGUUGGUGUAAACUCUGAACUUGUAAAUUAUUGUUUGGGAAUAGUGUCAUUAAUAAAAUGCAACUUUUUUUUCAAGCAAGUUUAAACAAUAGGGCAUAUGCUUGUAG